rnacentral:rRNA from 1 species
UACGAAGGGGGCUAGCGUUGCUCGGAUUGACUGGGCGUAAAGAGCGCGCAGGCGGUCGUUCAAGUCGAGUGUGAAAGCCCCCGGCUCAACUGGGGAGGGUCACUCGAUACUGAUCGACUCGAAGGCAGGAGAGGGUAGUGGAAUUCCCGGUGUAGUGGUGAAAUGCGUAGAUAUCGGGAGGAACACCAGUGGCGAAGGCGACUACCUGGCCUGUUCUUGACGCUGAGGCGCGAAAGCUAGGGGAGCAAACGGG